CAGUCUCCAGGUGUCGGCCCUUAUUAGCAUUCAUCAACAACAAGUUCAGACGAUACGUGGUCCCUAAAAGAGAACUAUGUGUCGAUAAAACGUUAGUUGGAAGAGGAGGUCACAGUGUCAUGCGACAGUAUACAUACAGAAUGUAUUCCAUCUUAAGCAUCUAAAUAUGGCGUUACGUUUUGGAUGUUAUGUGAAGCCGCUACAGGUUACAUUAUGCAGAUGUUUGUCUAUAGAGGAAAAGAGUUUGACCCGACACCAAGAGGCGAGCUUCAAGGCACUAAUGUUGUUCAUGACCUGCUGAGUGCGUCAGAACUUCUAAAUAAAGGUUACCAUGUCUUCUGCGACAGUUUCUUUUGCUCCAUACAUCUAGGAACAGCUCUUCUGAGAUGCAGAACCUAUCUAACAGGUACUCUCAGGAAAAACAGACCGAUGCCACUUACCAUAAGGAACGGAAAUCCUAAUCCUGAGACACCUAUAUACAUGAGAAAUGGUCAAAUGUUAUGUCUCGUUUAUCGAGACAAUGAUGACAAGAAACCUACUAGGUUACUAAGUACACUUAUCCCAGCUCAGCAGCUACCUACCGGAAGGCCACGGAUUGUCCAAAGUUACAAUAAGUAUAUGGGCGCUGUAGACUUACUGUUAUCAAAGGAAAAACAAAAAUGUGUGGAAAAAGAUUGUACUGAAUUUAUUUCACAGAAUCAUGCUGAACGCGUACAUUCUUUACAGUCAAAAUACUUCAGAUCGCCCCGUAAUGUCCCGAUUAAAAUUUAUUCAGCUUGUUGUCGAGUCACUUGCUGAUUUAGGACAUAUAAAUGCGUUACCAAGAAACCGACGUCCAAGGCAGAGGCUGGAUUUGCUCCCAGGGCGAAGGGAAAAAGACUGUUGUGUUUGUUCAACACGAGCUGCGGGGGGUAUUAGGAGGCGAAGUAGGACAGUUUGCUCAAUAUGUUAACGCGGAGUCCACAGGCACUGUCUUACGAGGCACGCAGUAUGUAAUGAACAAUAAAACAAUUCUACUGUACAUUGUAUUGUUACUAACGAGUAAGGUGGUGCUGGAAGGGUUAGUGUAUUUUCUACGCCUAAAUGUUUAUGAGAAAUAACACAAGAAAAAUGUUAUUGUUGUCGUUAAACUGUAGUGAGAAGAAUUAACAGAUUGUAAUCGUACAUGUAUUUCUAAAGCUUGUGUUCAUCUGUUUGUUAUGAUGCAAUAAAAUAAGUAUAGAAUAAAUAACUUCAUCACUACUGAUUAUGAA